GCGCCUGUAGCUCAGCAGGAUAGAGCAACGGAUUCCUAAUCCGUAGGGCGGACGUUCGAAUCGUCUCAGGCGCACCA
rnacentral:tRNA from 1 species